rnacentral:rRNA from 1 species
GGAGGAAGUGGGGAUGACGUCAAAUCAUCAUGCCCCUUAUGACCUGGGCUACACACGUGCUACAAUGGUUGGUACAACGAGUUGCGAGUCGGUGACGGCGAGCUAAUCUCUUAAAGCCAAUCUCAGUUCGGAUUGUAGGCUGCAACUCGCCUACAUGAAGUCGGAAUCGCUAGUAAUCGCGGAUCAGCACGCCGCGGUGAAUACGUUCCCGGGCCUU